ACAGAAACCAGAAGAUCACCAACUAAGCGAAGCACAGCAACCAAAGUUCCAGUUAACAAUGUUGGGACUCAUAAUUCUUGGAAUCACGUGUGGUCUUGCCACAGCAACUUAUCCUAGCUAUGGAUAUUCAAACCAACUUGGAUAUGGCUCUGGCUAUCCUCGCUACGGUGGACUCGGUUCCUUGGGUGGUGGUUUAGGACUUGGCGGGCUUGGUUCCUUGGGAGGUUUGGGACUUAAUAGUGGCCUUGGCUCCUUCGGAGGUUUAGGCACUGGACUCGGUUCCCUCGGUGGUUUAGGAAGUGGCGGUUUUGGACUAAAUGGGCUUGGCUCACUUGGAGGACUAGGUGGAGUGACCGGUUAUACUCCAAGCUAUGGUCUUGGAAACAGUAUCGGAUAUCCGUCUUAUGGUGGAUUAGGAUACACUGGAUACUCUCCCUACCCUACCUACAAUACUGGAUUUGGAGGUUUGGGUGGAUUAGGAAGUUUGGGAGGAUUGGGGUCUAACCUUGGUGGAUUAGGUGGACUGAAUGGAGGGUUCGGAGGAUUGGGUGGAUUAACCGGAGGAUUGGGUGGAUUAACCGGAGGAUUGGGUGGAUUAAAUGGAGGAUUAGGUGGACUCAGUGGAGGAUUAGGUGGACUCAAUGGAGGAUUAGGUGGACUUAAUGGAGGGUUCGGAGGAUUAGGUGGAUUAACCGGGGGAUUAGGUGGAUUAACCGGAGGUUUGGGUGGAUUAAAUGGAGGAUUAGGUGGAUUGGGCGGACUCAAUGGAGGUCUUAUCGGCGGAGGUUUAGGAUAUCCUACCGGUGGUUACAAGAAGAAAGUGUAUUAAAGAAUGAAUGUAAAUGGAAUUGGUUUCUGUCUAACAGGAUAACAACAUAUGCAGAACAUUAUGUUUCAUGAUGAUGUUUUUUUUAUAUUUAUUUUUGAAUAAAUGUUCAUUUCAUUGCAACUU
rnacentral:sRNA from 1 species